UGGAGAUGUGACGGGUGCCUACUGGGUGGGGGGGAGCCCCAUACACUUCCGUUCCGUCUCUUAAUCCUCACUUCCACCGGUGAGAGAGGGAGUAGUUCACCGGUUUCUCGGGUGAGGAAAAUCUGGCACAGAGAGGGACUGGCAUGAAAUAAUGCUGGCCAACACCGCUGAGCGCUCAUGUGGGUCCAGUCACUGUUCUGAGCGCUUCGCCGGGACGGAGGCAUCAAAACCUCAGCAUCCUUCUACUGACGUAGGUGCCCGUACUAUUCUCAUUUCACAGGUGAAUAGUUCACGGGCACAAAGCGCGUUCACACUGUUGGACGACCAUCACCACUGUCCACCGCCAGAACUUUUUUCCACUUGCAAAAUGAACUGUGUCCCCAUUGAACGCUGACUCCCCAUCUGCCCUUCCCUGCAGUCCGGGGAAGGGGCAUUUUUUUUUUUUUCCAAUUAGGCUCCACACCCAGCAUGGAGCCCAGUGCGGGGCUUGAACCCAAGACCCUGAGAUCAAGACUUGAGCUGAGAUCAAGCGUCAGAUGCCUCCUCCAUGGAGCCCCCCAUGCGCCCAUGUGGCAUUUUAUUCUCUGUCUCUGCGAAGCUGACUCCUCUAGGUACCUCACCGAAGUGGAAUCAGAAGGUCUUUGUCCUUCUGUGACUGGCUCAUUUCACUAAGUAGAACGUCUUCCAGGUUCAUCCGCGCUGUGGCCUGGGUCAGAGCUGUCUUGUCUUGGAGGCUGAGCAAGAUUCCACUGUGUGUGUGUGUACCAUACCUUGUUUGGGUGCCUCUGCCUCUUGGCUAAUGGGAACAAGGCCGCUAGAAACAGGGAUGUGCAACUAGCUCUUCGAGACCCUGCUUUCAGUUCCGUGGGACGCACAGAAGUCCAGAGAGCACGCUUCACCACCUUUCCUGCCUCUUAGCAGAAACCCCACUGGCUUCUCAGGCUGUCCUGUGAGGCCUCCUUGCAGGGAGACUCAGGCCAAGGGCCAUUCCAGGGAAGCCCAUGUGAUCACAGAAGGGGCUCCUGUCCUUCCCCCUGUGCCCCCCACAGAGCCUGGUUUCUUUUCAGCUGCUCUCCUCAGCUUGAGAAGCUCCUGUCUGCCUUGAUGUGGCGUGACAUGCGGUGAAGGAACCUUCCAGCCACAAUCCGCUCAGGAGUCAGGCUCUCUGGGCCCGAAUCUGACCUUGAUGCUAUCCAGCCUUACGGCCCCGGCGAAGUUCCUGAGCCACCCUGUGCCUUAUUUGGUCAACUGUAACAUGGGGUCGGCAUCCCCAGCACCCCCUCUCAGUACCUUGUGUACGGAACCUGUGAGCAAACCCCAGAAGUGCUCAGAACGGCCCCGGGCCCGUGGCAGGCACUCACUCAGCACACGUCUGCUAUACAUCCGGGCAGGGCAGAACCCACGAGGAGCAGCCCCCGGGAGGCCGAGCACUCCAGGGCUGACCCUCAAAACACCGGGGCUAAGUCUCAGCUCUAUCACUUCCUGUGUGACUUUGGGCAAGUGACCUUCUCUCUCUGAGCUUAGCUCUCUUCGUCAUUCAGAGAUGGUUGGGCCGCCCCUGCUCGACUCCCAGGGAGGAGAUCAAAUGAGACCCGAAUGUCUCUGAAGCCCUUCUAGAACCUGUCCCAGGCCCCACUUGCUCUGUGUGGGUCCUUUGUCCCCAGCUCAUGAGGGGCAGGCUCAGCAUCUCGCACUUGACCCUCAAUAGAUGUCCCUCCGAAGACACGCAUCAUCUGACCAAUGGUGCUACUGGACCCCAGGGCUCUGUCUCCCAGCCGUUCGCAGGGCAGAUGCCAACCUUGGAACCGAGAGGGAAUUUAUUGGCUCACACACACCUGGAUGCAGGGAUGGGAUGCUGUGAACAGGUCCCUCUCUCCGUCCCUUAGCCCUGCUUUUCUGCAGUCAGGGCUUAUUUUCAGGUGGGCUCUCACUACGGGACAGCAGACAGGCACCAGCUCUCCAGUCUCACAUCAAGCCAGUUAGCAACCUCAGUGGAAAGAGAGCUGCUUUCUCUAAGUAGUUGCAGCAGACAUCCCGGGGCUGCCUCCCACCUCCCAGACUUGAUCCCCAAACCGUCUCAGAACAUAUCCUGGGCUUCUGGUUGGUCAGUCUGAGUCACAGGCCUACUCUAGCCCCACGUCCACCAUGGGGACUAAGAAAGGGUGACCGGUGGCUCCCUGAAGGAGAAUUGAGGUGCUGUUAUCAGAAGCGGGGGCAGGCAGGGACAGGUUUUCAGAGCCCUGGACAGGAAGCCUAGACUCUGGUCCAAGUUCUGUCAUUCACUCUCUGCGUGGCCUUGAGAAAGUCACUGUCCCUUUCUGAGCCUGUUCCCUCAUCUGUAAAAGAGGGAUAGACUCCAUCAGUGGGUCACAAACUUGGCUGCUGCUAGAAUUACCUGGUAAGCUUUUAAAAAUGUAGAUUGCCUGGUGCCAUCUUACACUGUUCUGAGUCAGGAGUUCUGGGGGAGGACCAAGGACUCUGCAUUUUUGACCACAACCCAAAGAUUCUGAUGUGUUUCGACUUUCAGAAGUCACUGGAUGAGAUGACUCCUGAGGCCCCUCCCUCUGGAUGACUCCCUAAUCUCCUCUGGUUCUAAAGUGAAUUAAUGUGGGUCAAAGGCUGAGCAGAGAGAUGGUGGCAGACUCAGCAAUGCUCACCAAAUACGCCAGUCCCUCCCCAGCACUGGCCCACACCCUUCCACUUGGGCGGGGCCCACGAUGGUUCAGGCCAAUGAGAUGUGAGUGAAAAGGGCACAUGUCCCUUCCAGGAGGAGGCAGGUGAAAGUUCAUGUGCUCCCCACCGCCUUGAUGAAUAAUUCGUGAACAAAACCUGAAUUUCAGGGUGACUGUCACACACAGUAAAGAUGUGACAGUGGACACAGGAGGGCAAGUGGGCUGGGGCCUUGAUGUUCUUCCUUCCUGCCUUCUUCCGGCUGAAUGGAAACCUCCAGGGUAGAGUGGUGGUAGUCAGUUUGGACCGUGGCCUCGAGAGGAGGAAGAACAGGAAGGUCGUCCAAAGGCCAGAGGCAUCCCAGGACCGUUGGAGAAGUGUGGGCGUGGAUUGGCUGGACAUCCCAUGGCUCAUCGAUACCCAUCUCCGUCUUCGAAGCCUCUGGGAUCACUGAGCCUCCUCCCUGAUCGACACUUAAGAGUUGAUCUCUGCCUCCUCUGUGGUUCCAGGCACUUGGUUUAUACUUGUUUGAUCACACUUGUCAAAAUGUCCGACAGCCACACACCCCCCACGGUCCCCAUUGUUUCAUCAGCCCACCUCCCCAGCUUUGGCCCAAGGUCAUUUAUUGAUUCGACAAACAUUUAUUGAGCACCUGCUCGGUGAUAGAUCAGGGAACCAACUCUAAGUUCUUCUCUCCUGGACUUCAUGUUUUAGUGAAGACGAAGUGUUCAUGGAUAGACCGACACAGUAUACCGUUUGUUAGGUGGUGACAAACGCUUGGAAUCAACUAAAGCAGGGAAAGGGGCUAUCCUAGACAGGGACAGUGAUUCUCGUUUGAUUUAGGGGUGGUUGUGUGGGGGUGACAUUUUAGCAGCAAUCUGAUGAAGUGAGGAGGGCAUCGUGCAGUUAUCUGGAGAGUUCCAGGCUGAGGAAGGGAAAGGCGGAAUAGUCGUGGCCAGUGUAUGCCCAGCAAAUGGAUGUUGAAUUAAACUGGAUGAUGGAGGAGCACCUGGCUGGCUCGGUUGGUGGAGCAUGUGACUCUUGAUUUUGGGGCUGUGGGUUCGAGCCUCAUGUUGGGUGUAGAGAUUACUUAAAAAUAAUAAAAAAAUAAAUAAGAUAGUACAAUGGAGCGGGGAGAGAAGAUGGUCACUGGUCCAGGAGAGCAUGAGGACAGCUUCUUAUAUUCUCCAGGAGUGGUGACCCUGGCCUCUACCCAAAUGAAAGCUAUAACCAGUAGCACAACCUUUGGAAGCCAUACCCAGCAAGUUUGGCUUCUCUAGAGAGGCAGCAUGGAGAACCUGGCUCGGGGUUCAACCCUGGUUUGGGCCCUUAUCUGUGUUACAGAUCCUGUAUUAAAUUUUUCACAUUCCUUAUCUCCCUUACUACUCAGAACAACAUUCUGAGGUAUGCCUGGUGGCUUACAGAGGUUCAGGAACUUACCAAAAGCUACACUGUCAAUAAAAUCCAUUAAUGUGCCAUGAAGUCAAUGUCAUGACCAGCAUUUUAAACAAUGAAAUAGAUUAGAAGAUACCAUAGUACUGGGGGGAAAUGUGUUUCAUUUAUGUGAGUGUAUUUGUAUGAUAAGAUAUAUUCCUCCAAUAUAUGGUGGUUUGAAGGUAAAGAAACAAAAACUUUAAGAACGCUGUUUUGGACACUGCCAUGGGUAGAGACCUGCGUGUACUGCUUUGCUAUGGGGCUGUAAUUGGAAUGUAACUAACCAGGCAGCAGACCUGAAAUUGCUCAGUGACUCUGAUUCGUCAGACCUCUGUGCUGGCCCGAUGCUAUGGACAGGACUACUGGAUUAAUACUUCUCCUCCUCCUCUUUCUUUUUCUCCUCCUCUGUCUUCUCCUUCUUCUUCUGGUCCUAGAAGACCACAUCUAACCCUGUUCUCUCCGCUGCAUGGCUCUCAGGCCAGCCUCCAACCAACCAUCUCCAACUCCAGGCUAAAAAACAGUAAAAGUGAAAACUUUUUGUCCAAACAAAAUUCAGCACACGGAUGUUCACAGCAGCUUUAUUCAUAAUUGCCAAAACUUGGAAGCAACCAAGACGUCCUUUGGUGGGUGAAUGGAUACACUGUGAUAGAUCCAGAUAAUGGUCUGUUAUUUAGCACUAAAAAGAAAUGUGCUAUCAAGCCAUGAAAAGACAUGGAGGAACUUUAAAUGCAUAUAAUUAAGUGAAAGAAGCCAAUCUAAAGAGGCCACAUACAUACUGUAUGAUUCCAACUAUAUGACAACUGGAAAAGGCUAAACUGUGGAUACAGUAAAAAAAAAAAAUCAGUGGUUGCAGGCGUAGGGGUAGAGGCGAAAUAGGCAGAGUACGCAGGGUUUUUAAGGCAAUGAAAAAACUCUGUAUGGUAGUAUAAUGAUGGAUUCCUGUUGUUACACAUUUGUCCAAACCCUCAGAUCGUACGACCCCCAGAGUGAACCAUAAUGUAAACCGUGGACUCUGGGUGAUGAGGACGUGUCAAUGUAAGUUCAUCACUUGUAACAAACAAGCAAAAACAAACCCACUAAUAAGGGUUCUGAUCACCAGUUCCAGUAUGUGUGGGGCGGGUGGGGGAAGAAGGUCCCCAUACCAACAAGCAAAGCCCCAGACACCAGCUGAGUGCCCUACAAUUCAGCUCAAUUCUGUCACUUCUACCUGGAGACCGGUCAGAUCCCAUGGGUGAAGGGCUCAGUCCUCCAGACUGCCCCUCCCCCACCCCCACCUCCACUUCAGAUGCCAGUCACAAGUCCAGGUUGUCACCUGUGCCUCUGACCCACAAGAUAUAGAUCAGAGGUUCCAAAGACCCCCCCACCAAUCUUGGGUCCCAUUAAUUUGCUAAAGCUGUUCCUAAAACUCAGGAAACCUGUUUAUUCACUAGAUCACUGGUUUUUUAUGAAAGGCUGUAACUCAAGCAUAGCCAGAGGGAAGAGAGGCAUAGGGCAAGGUGUGGGGACAGGGUAUGGAACUUCCGUAUCAUUCUUGGAAUCUUCCUGUGUUCACCAACUGGAAGUUCUUUGAACCUCUUCGUCUUGGGUUUUUAUGGAGGCUUCAUUCCAAAGGCACCACUGAUUAAAUCACCAGCCAUUAGCCCCUGGUUUCAACCUCCUGUGCCCCUCCUCCCCAUGGAGGUUGCCGGGUGGGACUGAAAAUUCCAACCCUCUCUGCACUUGGUUGGUUCCACUGGCAACCAGCCCCCAUCCUCAGGUGCUUUCCAGAAGUCGCCUCAUUAACGUAACAAAGGAUGCUUUUGUGGCUGUCAACAUUUAGGAAAUUCCAAGGGCUUGGGAUGUGAGCCUGGAACCUUGACCGAGAGCAAAUGUGGGAAAUAACAUUGUGUUCUCUGAAUGUCAAGCUAUAUUUGUUUUUUAUAAAUAACAACAUCACCGCCAGUCCGGGUGGGAGGUGUUAAUGAUGGGGAGACUAUGCGCAGGUGGGGGAUAUAUGGGGGUAUCGCCACUUUUUCUGUGAACCUAAAACUGCUCUAAAAAAUAAAGUCUUUUUGGGCCGCCUGGGUAGCUCAGUCGGUUAA